UACGUAGGGACCGAGCGUUGUCCGGAUUUAUUGGGCGUAAAGAGCUCGUAGGCGGCUGUCCACGUCGGGUGUGAAAGCUCGGGGCUCAACCCUGAGAGGUCAUUCGAUACGGGACAGCUUGAGGCAGCUAGGGGAGAUUGGAAUUCCUGGUGUAGCGGUGAAAUGCGCAGAUAUCAGGAGGAACACCGGUGGCGAAGGCGGAUCUCUGGGGCUGUUCUGACGCUGAGGAGCGAAAGCUGGGGGAGCAAACAGG
rnacentral:rRNA from 1 species